CAACUUAUUGUUAUAAAAUUAUUAUCUAAUACAAUAAAGAUAUAGAAGUUGUGUAAUCUGUAAACAAAAAAUGAAUGAUGAAGUUAGCAAAGGAGACCAACAACUGAAGAAGUUAAAAAUGUUCUAGUGAAGAGGUUGGAUCUAUUGAGUGAAUUGUUUCUUCAAGACAUUUGGCUCUGAAGUAGAAACAUUUUUCUUGGAUUUUCAACCUCAGAUAUUCCUGUGCUGUGACAACAAAGCUGCAAAUCCACCUUCAGGAGAAUACGUCUUACAUCACAACAACAAAAUAAUUGACGCCAACCUGGCCAAAAAUGUAUCCAGUAUGAACUAUAGUGAACUAUUAAAAAAAAAUUAAAGCUUAGAAGUAUACCCCUAUGAACUUGAUCACACCUCGUACUAUCUAAGCAAGCGCCGAAUCACCCUUAUGUUCGAAAAGAGGUUUCUCAGUGUGUCUCAAUGUCAAAAUGUCUCAUUUAUAUGAAUAUGCAUUUGCACAAAUAGAGAUGUCUUAGCGUUUCAAUUUUGAUUGGCUCUAUCUUGAUGAUCUUAAGUGGAAUAAGUUUUAGGAAAAAUAUCAGUUUUUAAACAUUUUUCUAAGAAUCAUAAUUGUUACUUUCAGCCUCUGCUCAAAUAUUGUUGGUUCCGCUUAAAAUUGUAUUCAAUGUUUCAAGAUUUAAGCUCAAUUGAACCCGUUUUUUAGGGGAUUUGAGA